UACGUAGGCAGCGAGCGUUUGUUCGGAAUUACUGGGCGUAAAGCGUGCGCAGGCGGUGAUGUAAGACAGGUGUGAAAUCCCCGGGCUUAACCUGGGAACUGCAUUUGUGACUGCAUCGCUGGAGUGCGGCAGAGGGGGAUGGAAUUCCGCGUGUAGCAGUGAAAUGCGUAGAUAUGCGGAGGAACACCGAUGGCGAAGGCAAUCCCCUGGGCCUGCACUGACGCUCAUGCACGAAAGCGUGGGGAGC
rnacentral:rRNA from 1 species